UGGGUUGCCAUUUUAGAACCAGAGCCUAAGCAAGAGCAUUGCAAGGCGAUAUGGGAGCUCAGAAAGUCGCCAUAAAACUACCGUUUAAGACCAGGUUGAAAGUUUGUUUGUGUUUACUGCAACUCGCAUGAUGCAGCGUGGCGGUGGCACGGAGAACCAAGCGGGAAGUGAACCAUCAGCCUUUGAGUUACCUGUCACCCUUGGCAUCGAGAAGAUGACACCCAAGCCGUCUUACACCACAGAUAUUGACGGUUGGUCCAGCAGGUGAAAGUUAGACAAAGGUUAGAGAACUUGGUUCCAUUUCCUGUACCUUUGUAUGUACAUGUGUAUGAUAUCUAUAGGCUCCAGUCACCAAAUAAAGUCUAUUUCUCUUUUAGACUAUAGUUACCAGGCUUAGCAUCAUAUACAGUUUUUUUUGCAAGUUGCUACUUCUGUAUCUAAAAAAGAUAUAUAUUGGAAGCUUGUCACCUGAAACUGAUGCAAAUGCUUGGUGGUGUUUAUUCUUUCCAUCAUGAAUAAAUGCUAGAAAGACCACCCCUGUGAGCAACACCCAGCGGCCAGUCAAUUCCUCCCUUCCCUGCAACACUCUUGACCCUGUGAGCAGUCCUGGAAUGAACAUCCCGAAUAAACAAUUCUGUUGUAGUCCCUCUACAUUUAUUUGCUAUUAUGUUGGUUUCACCCAGAGAUGAUUGGCUUGCUGAUUAUGGUCUUGAUAAAGUUGGCCAGUAUACACUCACUAUCACAAUCACUAUCACCGGGAAGCCCAACAUCAAGUGGAACUAUGUUGCCGGCUACAAGAGCACCAAGUAGACUGAUCAAGUUCCCACAGUUUUCACAGAAUGAUCUCCACAGGUAACCUCCGGUGAGGAUGCAAGCUGCAAGCGCUCCUCGAGUCAGCCUGUCCCGAAAACCCGAUGCACAAUAAGGCAUGGAACAUCCCAGGCAAGGAGUUAUCAUGGCAGCAGAUGUCUAAAACAUUGCACGUGCCCUGAGAAGAAAGAUAGGACAGAACAAAUGCUGGCAAAGAUGAAGGAACAAAGAGUGUUUCUUCUGCAAAUGAGGCAUGAGAAGAAAGAUAGAAGAGAUGAAUCCACUGAUUUCAACGUAUAGUGGAUGCUUCUACAACACCAAGUCAAGACACCACCUCCAGUGAGAAAAAUCGUAUUCACAAGAGGCGAUAUGUGGAGCGAGAUAAUGCAAGUAGUUGAGUAUCGCCGCGGAGACGAAGGUGGAGGUAGACUUGAGAGAUAGAAGAAUGUGUUAAAGGUGGCAUAAACCUCUUCAAAGUUUCCCUCGAGAUCGAAGAAUCGAGAGCGGAGGGCGAGCCAUGGACGCGGUGGUGGAGAUCUUGACGAGACUGCACCUCUCGCCCUGGCUACCAUCGUCGACUUGCCGUGGUCCAACGCCGCCACAAGGGGCUCUUGCCUUACGGGGUUAUCAUGAUCCAUUAUAUGCAACCAUGGAGUGGCCCAGUUGGAGUGGAUUUGGAUUGUACAUUUGUGCUACCAAGGAUCUGAGGAUUGGAGAUUGAAGAAGAUGAAUCAUGUACUGGCAGCUUUGUAGCGUAGUAUGCAGAAACUUUGCUUCACAAAGAACCUAAAGACAAGAUCAGAAGUUGCCCAUAUACCAGCUACCUGGAUAGUACCAUCCCUGUCCCUAACCCACUGUAAUUUGCUUUUAGAUUGUUGUUCAACUGAAACAAGUAGUACCUUAUGUGACCC